UGGAAGAGAACAAAGUUUACAAAUAAUAAUCAAACGCUAUUGAAAUACACUCAAGUUAUAUAUAUUUCACAGUACCAUUGUGAUCGAACGUUUUAAUUUCAAUUUGUCAUACAACGGAGAGUGUAGUUUGUGAUAAUAAUGUCUGUAGAACUUUGAUUUCUCAAAAAUCUCCUUAGUUGUUCAUUCAAUCGAAAACUUGGAGAGCGAACCUUGACCUCUCCUCAAAUAUUGGUUAUCAUCGUGGUCGUGAAAAUUAUCAUCGUCAGUUUCGUGGAUAGCUCGGGAAAAAUAUUCCAAUGCAGUUGAGCAUAAAAUGACCUCAGCGGGCUGUGCUGUGACUAGUCCCUCGAACAUUGUCGUACAGAGCUGGAUAGUUGUAGCUGGCAACAAAUAGUGUAAUAGUUUGUGCAGCGUAUAAAUAACACAUGCUCCUUAUCUGAACUAUCGUAAAAGGGUAAUUAAAGAGAGGCAGCCAUUCUGCUGCAUAUCGGGAACGAGAGAAAGAGAAAACUCAAAGUAUACAAAGAGUCCAGGUUUGCAACUGUAACGCAUCAUCAUGACUUCACCGAAAAUUUCGGCUGACAAAGGUACAUCAAAUGUGGUAGUCUCCAAGCAGAAUAUAGCUGAACACAAUAAUGGAGGAGCGGCCGAAGCAAGUACAACCGAUACCGUACCUGGUGUUGUUCCAGUCCUCGAUGGGAUACGAGAGGCAGGACCGUAUGGAAUCUUCAGCUGGAUGAAGGUUUUCCGUUUUGCCAAUUUGAUGAUUAAGCAAGGAUGCUAAAUGGUUAAAGCCAAUUUUCAUGUUUUAAUAGUAUGUGAAAUCUAGAACAUUUAAACAGAUUAACACCAGAUAGAUUGUGAAUAUGUUUGUUAUUUGAAAUGAAGAUUCUAUCAAUAAAUAUGUAAUAUACAUAAGAAACACAUGUUAUAUAACAAACGUGAGGUACAGCACAGUACCGUCUACUUCACGUAAUACGUAUUAAUAAUAAA